CAGGAAGCAGGAAGCCAGAAUACGGGGAAUUCGGGAGUUUAUUUACGGAGACAGGGACCGGGAAACAGCUCACGCUUACAAACAUCAAUGACGGACAAGGGAAACCAGGGAGACCAGGACUUAAAUACACAGGACUGAUUGAAAGCAAACGGACACAGCUGGGUACGAUCCGGGAAACACACGUGGUCAGGGCUGGACAAGACCGGUCAUGCCACAGUGAUGCCUCUAGAUGUGAUGACCGAUUCAGUAAUGAUGUCUCCGGACCCCUGGCCAGAUCCAGCCCCCCAUAUGACAGACCUUUGCAUGCUGAAUUGUCGGCUGCGUUCACACUACGGCCAAAUAGGAUUAUUUUGCUAUUCAGAUGCAGUGACUGAGAGUGGGAGAUGGUCUUUCCCAUUACCUUGGCAUGGUAAGUAUUGAUCUAUUAGCAGUGUGAGAUGACUGGACACUGAGCUAGAGAGAGACUUUAAAUGGUACCAUCUUCUCUUUUACUGCAAUGUUCUCUCUGUCCACAGAAACUGCUUUUCGAUUAUAGCCGCGGCUUGGUUUUCAUCAUGUCUGACAUUUGUUUGAAUUUUUAUGGUUCUUCCUGCAACACUACUGGACUAAUAACAAACACUGGAUCUGAUUACAAAAACACUUGUGACCUAGCUAACCCUGCUAUUCUAA